UAUGUAUAUGAUGACAAAAAAGACAACGACAUCAACACUCCAACUGAGAAUGUUGAUUUAGUCUAAUGGGAAUCUCUAUUAUGCGUU
rfam:Cicer arietinum chromosome Ca3, whole genome shotgun sequence.